UGGGGAAUAUUGCACAAUGGGCGAAAGCCUGAUGCAGCAACGCCGCGUGAGUGAUGAAGGCCUUCGGGUUGUAAAGCUCUGUCUUUUGGGACGAUAAUGACGGUACCAAAGGAGGAAGCCACGGCUAACUACGUGCCAGCAGCCGCGGUAAUACGUAGGUGGCAAGCGUUGUCCGGAUUUACUGGGCGUAAAGGAUGCGUAGGCGGAUUUUUAAGUGAGAUGUGAAAUACCGGGCUUAACUUGGGUGCUGCAUUUCAAACUAGGAAUCUAGAGUGCGGGAGAGGAGAAUGGAAUUCCUAGUGUAGCGGUGAAAGUGCGUAGAGAUUAGGAAGAACACCAGUGGCGAAGGCGAUUCUCUGGACCGUAACUGACGCUGAGGCAUGAAAGCGUGGGUAGCAAACAGGAUUAGAUACCCUGGUAGUCCACGCCGUAAACGAUGAGUACUAGGUGUAGGAGGUAUCGACCCCUUCUGUGCCGCAGUUAACACAAUAAGUACUCCGCCUGGGAAGUACGAUCGCAAGAUUAAAACUUAAAUGAAUUGACGGGG
rnacentral:rRNA from 1 species